ACAACCUUAAAGAUUCACACAAUAUCCAUUAGAACCUUAAAGAUCCAACCUUUAACAUUAAAUCUUGAUUCUUUUUCAUUUUCUCAACAACCCCUUUACCUCAAAAUGCCUACAAACCCAAAAGUUUUCACUGCCAGAUCAUACUACUACAACUCUAGGAGAUCAACAAUUUUAACACUAUGUUUUAUAAUCGGUUUUACUGGGUUUAUAUUCGGGUUUACUGCAAUUUCAAAGCGGGUUUUAGGAGGGUAUAACUGUAAAUAUGCUGAACCAAGAUCUGUUUCAGUUGCUUGGGAUAGAAGAACUAGUAUAGGAAGUGGAGGAGGAGCCAUGGUGGAAAAAGAAAGUGGGCUUACUGAUGGAGAGUAUAAGAGGCAUAAAGUUAUGGGUUUUGUUGGAAUUCAAACCGGGUUCGGGUCGGUUGCUCGAAGGAGGUCAUUGAGAAGGACUUGGUUUCCAUCUGAUCACAAUGGGCUUCAAAAGUUAGAAGAAGCGACUGGCUUGGCUUUUAGAUUUGUUAUUGGUAGAACAAGUGAUAAAUCUAAGAUGUCAGCGCUUAAGAAAGAGGUAGCAGAAUAUGAUGAUUUUGUACUAUUAGACAUUGAAGAAGAGUACAGUAAGCUCCCAUACAAAACCUUAGCGUUUUUCAAGGCUGCCUAUGCACUUUAUGAUUCCGAGUUCUAUGUUAAAGCUGAUGAUGACAUAUAUUUACGGCCAGAUCGCCUUUCAUUGCUCUUGGCCAAAGAGCGGUCUCACUCACAAACUUACCUUGGUUGCAUGAAAAAGGGUCCAGUUUUCACCGACCCCAAACUCAAAUGGUAUGAACCACUUUCAUCUAUUCUAGGGAAGGAGUAUUUUCUGCAUGCUUAUGGUCCUAUUUAUGCUCUUUCCGCUGAUGUUGUUGCAAGUUUGGUUGCCCUGAGGAACAACAGUCAAAGGAGUGAUAGCUCAUUAGUUUUCUACUUUACCUGUGAAUUCUCAGUUUCCGAAUGUUUAGCAAUGAGGAUGUUACCAUUGGAGCGUGGAUGCUUGCGAUGAAUGUCAAUCAUGAGAACAAUAAGCAACUAUGUGAACCAGAGUGUACAGCUUCAUCUAUUGCUGUGUGGGAUAUUCCAAAGUGUUCAGGUCUGUGUAAUCCAGAGAAGAAAAUGUUAACACUUCAUGCAAACGACGUCUGCUCAAAGAGUCCCACUCUACCAUCAGAAGAUGAUUAAUGGGCUUGAUCAAUUUUGACUGCUGGAUUUUAGUCUUCCCUGGAAGAUCAUUUGUGUAUUUUGUAGGCCACUUAUGAGAUAUGGUUGUAAAAUAGAUAUAUUUUUUUCCAUUGAUUGAUGUUGCACAAAACUUAAAUGGAAUGACAUGAACAAUUAUUGAUGAUUCAUAUAGCUGAACCCGACUUGCUGGGGAUCGAGGUGUAGUUAUUGUUGUUGUACUGAUGUUGCACAAACCGAUGAGAACUUUGAUAGUAAAUGGAAUUUUUUCUAUUUGCAA